rnacentral:rRNA from 1 species
UUAAGUGAAUAAGGGCGUACGGUGGAUGCCUAGGCACUUGGAACUGAAGAAGGACGCAACAAACGGCGAAACGCGACGGGGAGUGGUACGUACACAAAGAUCCGUCGAUAUCCGAAUGGGGAAACCCGGCAGCAGUAAUGAGCUGUCACCCAUGAGUGAAUACAUAGCUCAUGAGGGAGGUACCCGGAGAACUGAAACAUCUAAGUAUCCGGAGGAAAAGAAAAUAAGAAUGAUUCCGUAAGUAGCGGCGAGCGAACGCGGAGGAGCCCAAACCAGAUCUUGAUCUGGGGUUGUAGGACCACGAAAUGGCAAGAGCAUGGCUAAGAGAACGGCAUUGAAAGGCCGACCGGAGAGGGUGCAAGUCCCGUAACUGAAAGCAAUGUGAAGCCUAGUGGUAUCCUGAGUACGGCGAGACACGAGAAAUCUUGUCGGAAGCAGGCGGGACCAUCCGUCAAGGCUAAAUAUACCCAAGUGACCGAUAGUGAACCAGUACCGUGAGGGAAAGGUGAAAAGAACCGCGGGAGCGGAGUGAAAUAGAACCUGAAACCGUAUGCUUACAAGAAGUCAGAGCCCGUUAAAGGGUGAUGGCGUGCCUUUUGUAGAAUGAACCGGCGAGUUACGUUAUCGUGCGAGGUUAAGUAGAAGAUACGGAGCCGAAGCGAAAGCGAGUCUUAAUAGGGCGACAGUACGAUGAUGUAGACCCGAAACCGUGUGAUCUAGCCAUGACCAGGUUGAAGUUCAGGUGAAACUGAAUGGAGGACCGAACCGACCCCCGUUGAAAAGUUGGCGGAUGAGUUGUGGCUAGGGGAGAAAUUCCAAUCGAACACGGAUAUAGCUGGUUCUCCCCGAAAUAGCUUUAGGGCUAGCGUCGAGGCAGAGUCGCAUGGAGGUAGAGCACUGAAUGUACGAUGGCCCCAUCCCGGGGUACUGAGUAUAAUCAAACUCCGAAUGCCAUGCAGACGUACUCGGCAGUCAGACUGUGGGUGAUAAGGUCCAUGGUCAAAAGGGAAACAGCCCAGACCGCCAGUUAAGGUCCCAAAAUGUAUGCUAAGUGGAAAAGGAUGUGGGGAUGCACAGACAACUAGGAGGUUGGCUCAGAAGCAGCCAUCCUUCAAAGAGUGCGUAACAGCUCACUAGUCGAGUGACCCUGCGCCGAAAAUGUACCGGGGCUAAGCAUACUACCGAAGCUGCGGAUUCAACUUCAGAGUUGAGUGGUAGGGGAGCGUUGCAUGCACGUAGAAGCCGUACCGUAAGGAGCGGUGGAGAGCAUGGAAGAGAGAAUGCCGGUGUGAGUAGCGAGAUGUAGGUGAGAAUCCUACACACCGAUAGCCCAAGGAUUCCAGGGGAAGGUUCGUCCGCCCUGGGUAAGUCGGGACCUAACGCGAGGCCGAAAGGCGUAGUGGAUGGAAAACAGGCAGAUAUUCCUGUACCCGCGAUGGAAAUGAAGGAAUGACGGAGAAGGCUAGUGUGAGCCACUGAACGGAUUGUGGUCAAAGCAUAUAGCAGGCUGACAGUGAAAUGCGUCAGCGGGAUGUAAGAUGUGACAGGUAAGGGAACGUCCUUGGACAAGUACUGAAGCACAUGAUGCCAGCUUCCAAGAAAAGUUUCUAGUGAUAAUUCCAUAGCGGCCCGUACCAAAACCGACACAGGUGGGCAAGGAGAGAAUCCUGAGGUGAGCGAGAGAACUGUUGCCAAGGAACUCGGCAAAAUGACUCCGUAAGUUAGCGAUAAGGAGUGCUCUUGUAAAAGAGAGCCGCAGUGAAGAGGCCCAAGCGACUGUUUAACUAAAACACAGCUCUCUGCAAAGUCGCAAGACGAAGUAUAGGGGGUGACGCCUGCCCGGUGCUGGAAGGUUAAGAGGAUUUGUCAUCCGCAAGGAGAAGCAAUGAAUUGAAGCCCCAGUGAACGGCGGCCGUAACUAUAACGGUCCUAAGGUAGCGAAAUUCCUUGUCAGGUAAG